GACGAACGCUGGCGGCGUGCUUAACACAUGCAAGUCGAACGGAAAGGCCCCAGCUUGCUGGGGUACUCGAGUGGCGAACGGGUGAGUAACACGUGGGUGAUCUGCCCUGCACUCUGGGAUAAGCCUGGGAAACUGGGUCUAAUACCGGAUAGGACCGUGCUCUAGUGUGUGCGGUGGAAAGUUUUUCGGUGCAGGAUGAGACCGCGGCCUAUCAGCUUGUUGGUGGGGUAAUGGCCUACCAAGGCGGCGACGGGUAGCCGGCCUGAGAGGGUGUACGGCCACAUUGGGACUGAGACACGGCCCAGACUCCUACGGGAGGCAGCAGUGGGGAAUAUUGCACAAUGGGCGGAAGCCUGAUGCAGCGACGCCGCGUGGGGGAUGACGGCCUUCGGGUUGUAAACCCCUUUCGGCAGGGACGAAGCUUUUGUGACGGUACCUGCAUAAGAAGCACCGGCUAACUACGUG
rnacentral:rRNA from 1 species